rnacentral:lncRNA from 1 species
GUGGUAAGAAAAAUACACUGGAGCCUUGACCUUGUUAACUGAUCUUGGUCUUACAGUAAACGGCAAACGCCCAGCUCAGGCAUGACACGCAACAGCAACGGAGGGCUCAUACAUCAUUACGUCCAGAUUCCUGCUGCGGCAGCCAUUCACUCAUUGGGAAAUACUGAGUGCGAGACUAACACCAACUGGAGUGCCAGGCUUCCUGAAAUGGACUGCUGCCAGGGGCCAGAAGGGAAUAACCCCAACCUACCCCACUCCUGCGGCAGUGAUGUGGGCCACACUACGAGGGCCACACUACGAGGGCCACAGCAGGCUCUCCACCCCACGGGUACUGCAUUUCCCCCAGUUAUAAAACUGAGGGCUUUUAAAGUUACAAAAGUGAGGCCUUUCGGUGUCAAAAAUUGAGGAGGAACAAAGCAUAGAGCUGAGACACAAAAGCAGACAAUAUGGGCUGACCCCACCCAAUCACCAGACUUGGAAAAAAAGAAGAGAGAGAUAGGUCUAGAGGAAAAGUGAUGCAAGGAUCAAAGCAGAAGAGGAAACCGUGGGCAUCCAAUAAGACAGCUCCACAUUGUGCCCGGGGAAGGCCAGCUCCAGGGUUCCUGCGAGAUAAUGCAGGGCCUCCAAGUUGAUCGUGAGGCCUUACUGGUGAGCGUGCCUUUGCUUUCUGGUAGUUUACCUGGCCUGCUAGUACUGCACACAGCUAAGUUAGUUAUAAACAUUCCAGGCAGUUAGACAGGGCUGGGCUCUCAGCACAGAGGACAACUGUAGAAGGAGUGGAGGACUGACUACACCCACAUACUUCCCUAGGGGUGAACAGCAGUGAUUCAUAUUCUAAGUAGCCGUCAAUCACCUUGGGCGUUGGACCAAAUCUUCCUUAGCCCAUUCCUUCCAGGACAAUCUUUGUUCACUCCUUGUACACAUGCUACAUGACUUGCUUCCCCCAUCUGAUCCCCACUUCAUAUUAUCUAAGCAGCCAUAUUUGUUGCACUCUUAUUGGUUGAC